GGAGAUAUAGCUCAAUUGGUAGAAUGCAUGCUUAGCAUGCACAAGGUCCUGGGUUCAAUCCCCAGUACCUCUA
rnacentral:tRNA from 1 species